rnacentral:rRNA from 1 species
AGAGUUUGAUCAUGGCUCAGGAUGAACGCUAGCGGCAGGCUUAAUACAUGCAAGUCGAGGGGCAGCGGGUUUGUAGCAAUACAGAUGCUGGCGACCGGCAAACGGGUGCGGAACACGUACUGAACCUUCCUUUAAGUGGGGAAUAGCCCAGAGAAAUUUGGAUUAAUACCCCGUAACAUAUAGAAGUGGCAUCACUUUUAUAUUAUAGCUCCGGCGCUUGAAGAUGGCAGUGCGGCCGAUUAGGUAGUUGGCGGGGUAACGGCCCACCAAGCCUGCGAUCAGUAACUGGUGUGAGAGCACGACCAGUCACACGGGCACUGAGACACGGGCCCGACUCCUACGGGAGGCAGCAGUAAGGAAUAUUGGUCAAUGGACGCAAGUCUGAACCAGCCAUGCCGCGUGGAGGAUGAAGGUCCUCUGGAUUGUAAACUUCUUUUAUCUGGGAAGAAAUCUGUUUUUUCUAAAGCAGUUGACGGUACCAGAUGAAUAAGCACCGGCUAACUCCGUGCCAGCAGCCGCGGUAAUACGGAGGGUGCAAGCGUUAUCCGGAUUCACUGGGUUUAAGGGGUGCGUAGGUGGAUUGGAAAGUCAGUGGUGAAAUCUCCGGGCUUAACUCGGAAACUGCCAUUGAUACUAUCAAUCUUGAAUACCGUGGAGGUCAGCGGAAUAUGUCAUGUAGCGGUGAAAUGCAUAGAUAUGACAUAGAACACCAAUUGCGAAGGCAGCUGGCUACACGAAUAUUGACACUGAGGCACGAAAGCGUGGGGAUCAAACAGGAUUAGAUACCCUGGUAGUCC